GAUGAACGCUGGCGGCGUGCCUAAUACAUGCAAGUCGAGCGAACGGACGAGAAGCUUGCUUCUCUGAUGUUAGCGGCGGACGGGUGAGUAACACGUGGAUAACCUACCUAUAAGACUGGGAUAACUUCGGUAAACCGUAGCUAAUACCGGAUAAUAUUUUGAACCGCAUGGUUCAAAAGUGAAAGACGGUCUUGCUGUCACUUAUAGAUGGAUCCGCGCUGCAUUAGCUAGUUGGUAAGGUAACGGCUUACCAAGGCAACGAUGCAUAGCCGACCUGAGAGGGUGAUCGGCCACACUGGAACUGAGACACGGUCCAGACUCCUACGGGAGGCAGCAGUAGGGAAUCUUCCGCAAUGGGCGAAAGCCUGACGGAGCAACGCCGCGUGAGUGAUGAAGGUCUUCGGAUCGUAAAACUCUGUUAUUAGGGAAGAACAUAUGUGUAAGUAACUGUGCACAUCUUGACGGUACCUAAUCAGAAAGCCACGGCUAACUACGUG
rnacentral:rRNA from 1 species